rnacentral:rRNA from 1 species
UAUCUUAGCGGCGGACGGGUGAGUAAUGCUUAGGAAUCUGCCUAUUAGUGGGGGACAACAUUCCGAAAGGAAUGCUAAUACCGCAUACGUCCUACGGGAGAAAGCAGGGGAUCUUCGGACCUUGCGCUAAUAGAUGAGCCUAAGUCGGAUUAGCUAGUUGGUGGGGUAAAGGCCUACCAAGGCGACGAUCUGUAGCGGGUCUGAGAGGAUGAUCCGCCACACUGGGACUGAGACACGGCCCAGACUCCUACGGGAGGCAGCAGUGGGGAAUAUUGGACAAUGGGGGGAACCCUGAUCCAGCCAUGCCGCGUGUGUGAAGAAGGCCUUAUGGUUGUAAAGCACUUUAAGCGAGGAGGAGGCUACUGAGACUAAUACUCUUGGAUAGUGGACGUUACUCGCAGAAUAAGCACCGGCUAACUCUGUGCCAGCAGCCGCGGUAAUACAGAGGGUGCGAGCGUUAAUCGGAUUUACUGGGCGUAAAGCGUGCGUAG